AUCCUCUCUGGCCUCUUUUGGCUAAGAUCAUGUGUAGUAUCUGUUCUUAAUGCUGUAAGAAGCAUUACCGGGAAACUUUCCCGUAUUUCUUACAUUAUCUUUCGAGCCUCGUAUCGUACCUCUUCGCUUGCGAACGUCCAUACACGAUGUCGCUGGCACUGCACUACAGCCUUCUGAUGUCACGGCAA
rfam:Cryptococcus dejecticola CBS 10117 unplaced genomic scaffold supercont1.7, whole genome shotgun sequence.